rnacentral:rRNA from 1 species
UACGUAGGGGGCGAGCGUUGUCCGGAUUUACUGGGCGUAAAGGGCGCGCAGGCGGUUGUGUAAGUUUGGAGUGACAGUGCCUGGCUUAACCAGGCAAGGCCUCUGAAAACUGCAGGACUUGAGGACCAGAGAGGGACAUAGAAUCCGGGUGGAGUGGUGAAAGUGCGUAGAUAUCGGAGGAAUACCAAAGGCGAAGGCAGUGUCCUGGCUGGUAACUGACGCUGAGGCGGCGAAAGCUAGGGGAGCGAACAGGA